UACGUAGGGGGCAAGCGUUGUCCGGAUUCAUUGGGCGUAAAGAGCGUGUAGGCGGCCAGGUAGGUCGGUUGUGAAAACUGGAGGCUCAACCUUCAGAGGUCGACCGAAACCAUCUGGCUUGAGACCGGAAGAGGUUAGUGGAACUGCGAGUGUAGAGGUGAAAUUCGUAGAUAUUCGCAAGAACACCAGUGGCGAAGGCGGCUGACUGGUCCGGUUCUGACGCUGAGGCGCGAAAGCGUGGGGAGCAAACAGG
rnacentral:rRNA from 1 species